GACGAACGCUGGCGGCGUGCCUAAUACAUGCAAUUAGAACGCUGAAGACUUUAGCUUGCUAAAGUUGGAAGAGUUGCGAACGGGUGAGUAACGCGUAGGUAACCUGCCUACUAGCGGGGGAUAACUAUUGGAAACGAUAGCUAAUACCGCAUAACAGCAUUUAACCCAUGUUAGAUGCUUGAAAGGAGCAAUUGCUUCACUAGUAGAUGGACCUGCGUUGUAUUAGCUAGUUGGUGAGGUAACGGCUCACCAAGGCGACGAUACAUAGCCGACCUGAGAGGGUGAUCGGCCACACUGGGACUGAGACACGGCCCAGACUCCUACGGGAGGCAGCAGUAGGGAAUCUUCGGCAAUGGGGGCAACCCUGACCGAGCAACGCCGCGUGAGUGAAGAAGGUUUUCGGAUCGUAAAGCUCUGUUGUAAGAGAAGAACGUGUGUGAGAGUGGAAAGUUCACACAGUGACGGUAACUUACCAGAAAGGGACGGCUAACUACGUGCCAGCCGCCGCCGUAA
rnacentral:rRNA from 1 species